CUAGAUUCCCCAGAUAGCAGCUUCCUGCCACACGUUUUAGGCAUCUCUAUUUAUGUAUCAUAUACUAUGGUGUUCACGUAGCCAGUUGCAAGUAAGUUACAGGCUGUGUUCUGAACCCGUUGGUGUCCUGAAAAGGCCAUAAUCUUCCAAGGAAAUAAGAACAUUGGUGUAGAGCUGCAGUAGAGCUUUUAGAGUCGAGCAUUACUAUAAUUCUGCCCACUCGUCCACAGUGGUGAGUCUCCUCAAUUUCCCAGCCUAUCUGACGACGUGGAAGAAGGAAGCUUUUGCUCUGUGCCUUCUUGCUAUCAGCUUGUUAGCAAGUCCAUUCCUUCACUAGGAUCCCAGCACCUCUACUGAAGACCAGUUGAAACCUCCAGCCUUGUGGAUGGACUAAGGGGAUUCUGGAUUCAUGAAUUUUCCAUUUAUAGCAAGCCAUUGGAUUAGCCAGACCAUAUAGCCUGUAAAUUAUUCAAAUAAAUCCCCUUUCUAU
rnacentral:lncRNA from 1 species